GAGGCAUUUGGGUUGUUUAUGGAAAUGAGGGAGAAGGGGUUUGAGCCAGAUGAGAUGACGUUGGUGAGUGUUCUUGGGGCGUGUGGGGAUUUGGGGGAUUUGGGUUUGGGGAGAUGGGUGGAGGGGUUUGUUUUGGAGAAGAAGAUGGAGGUAAAUUCGUAUGUGGGGUCUGCUUUGAUUGACAUGUAUGGUAAGUGUGGGGAUUUGAUAUCUGCGAGGAGGGUCUUUUGAUUCAAUGCCAAACAAGGAUGUUGUCACUUGGAAUGCCAUUAUCACAGGGUUCUCACAGGAUGGAGCUUCCAAUGAAGUAAUUGUACUAUUCAAUGGAAUGAGAGAGACAGGUCCUAAUCCAGAUAAAGUCACAAUGAUUGAAGUAUAUAUGGUCUGCAUGUUCCACAAUAGGGGCCUUUGAUUUGGGGAAAUGGGUUGAGACACAUGCAUCAGAAAGAGGUUUACAGCACGAUGUCUAUGUUGCGAGUGCAUUAAUUGAUAUGUAUGCUAAAUGUGAGAGUUUUUGAAUCAAUGACAUUGCCAUUUGGAUUGAUUGGAUUGGUCCUAAAAGUCGAGCAUUAUUCUUGCAUGGUUGAUCUUUGUCGCGUGCAGGACUUCUGAACGAAGCCUGGGACUUAAUCAAGAAGAUGCUUGGAAAACCAUAUGAAAUUGUGUUGGGGUCAUUGCUUGGUGCCUGCCAGAGGUGUAGAAAUGCAGAUGUUGAUGAAAGGGUCAUUCAAUUGUUUCUAGAGACGGAGCUAUCAAAUUCAGGAAAAUAUGUUAUCUUAUCUAAGAUAUAUGCAAAUAUGAGAAGGUGGGAUGAUUCUGCAAAGACAAGGGUGUUGAUGAGGCAGUGUGGUAUCUCUAAAACCCCUUGCUGUAACUGGAUUGACAUUGGAGCUCGUGCUCAUGAAUUUCAUGCUGGUGACAACUUAAAUCAUCAUCCGGUGAACAUAUACCAAUUGCUGAAUGAGGAGAUGAAGAGAGAAGGUUACAUUCCAAAUAUUGGUUGCAUAUAGAGGUGGAAAAGUUGAAAACUUGGUUGCCUUUUCAGCCAUUGAACAGUGCAUCCGGAGGGAUUAUAUCUUCUGGUUGAUGACUCCAGCUAAAAUAUUAAAUGGUAAGUUGUGUUCUUAAUAGCUUGAGCAAGGCUGGUUUGGAAGAAGCUAUUAUUGAGAGUAAGAGUCAUUCAAACACAAAUUGUUUUCCAGAAAAUUAAGCAAUUUCAGCAAGAACUGGUAAGGUGCUUCGUGUGUGAAUAUAUCCUGUAAGCUAAAUUGAAGAAAUUCUUUUUGGACAAUCUUGCCUUUAUAUCAAUUGUGACCUCAAGAAAUAUUAGGUACCAAGAAAAGAAAACUACCAAGACAAAUCCAUAUUCUUUGAUGAAUUCAAUACAGGAAGAUAAUGCAAAUUUGUAUUUUUAACAAUAGUAUUUGUGUUGUAAUGUAUUCCCCUUUAUAUUAAAUAUUUUUGGAUA